rnacentral:tRNA from 1 species
ACUUAAGUAGCUUAAUCAAAAGCUUGAUAUUGAAGAUAUUAUUAUAGGUUAUUACCUCUUAAGUA